rfam:Blastopirellula marina DSM 3645 scf_1099463000751 genomic scaffold, whole genome shotgun sequence.
AAGAGUGACCCUCGCAGAGGGGAACCGGCAACCUGGUCAGGCCUUAACUGGAGCAGCCAUACCCGGGGUACUCUGGUGCGGGGGUCUCUCCUCGACA